rnacentral:rRNA from 1 species
GUCCACGCCGUAAACGAUAACCACUAGAUGUUGGUUCGGCUUAGCUGGAUCAGUGUCGUAGCUAACGCGUUAAGUGGUUCGCCUGGGGAGUAUGGUCGCAAGGCUAAAACUUAAAAGAAUUGACGGGGGUCCGCACAAGCGGUGGAACAUGUGGUUUAAUUCGACACUACGCGAGAAACCUUACCUGGACUUGACAUGUACUCGACAGUCGUAGAAAUACGAUCUUUUGGGCUUCGGUUCAAACGGGUACACAGGUGCUGCAUGGCUGUCGU